rnacentral:ncRNA from 1 species
UUCUGGGAAGAUUGAGAGGUUGAGAGCUCUUUCUUGAUUCGGUAGAUGGUGGUGCAUGUCCGCUCUUAGUUGGUGGAGCGAUUUGUCUGGUUAAUUUCGAUAACGAACAAGACUCUACUCUACUAAAUAGGUGCGUGGUUCUCUGCCCCUUGCGCCCAUCUCAGAGGGACAAGCGGCCCCUAGCCGCACGAAAGAGAGAAAUAACAGGUUUGUGAUGCCCUUAGAU